CCUGUAAUCCCAGCUAUUCAGUAAUCCCAGCUACUCAGGAGGCUGAAGCGAGAGAAUCGAUUGAACCCGGGAGGCGGAGGCUGGAGUGUGGGCAUGGAGAAAACCUCAGGCAGGCUGGGGACCAGGUCACAACAGGUGGGCUGGACAGCUCUGUGCAGGUCCCUGAGGCCACAUGGAGGGAGCAGUGCUGGUGAAGUGGAUAGAAAGGGCGGAAACAGAUCGUGGAGCGGGCGGUCCCUACAGGUCCCUGGUCCCAGGGAGCAGACGUGAGGUUUGUGUGCCUGGCCCAAGUGUGAGGUGGAUGCUGUCACAGUUCGGGGGUGGGGGGUGCCCCAAACCGCCCAGGUGUCCAGGCUGCAUGGGACAGGAGGAAGAUGAGGAUGAGGCAGGAGGGGAUGUUUGAUUGGGUGCAGCUGUGUUGAGGAGGUCUACGUGCUGGGUACUGGGGAGAUGCCCUGUCUCUGCGACUUCAUGCAAUGUUAAUUUCUUCUGAUCCUUCUUUGAUAUCCUCCUGACUGCAUCCGGUCUCUUCUGGGCAUCCCUGGCUUCCCGGUCUCAGCCCGUCCCAGGAGAUGCUCUGAUCCUGCUUCACGUGUUUCCCGCCCUG
rnacentral:lncRNA from 10 species